rnacentral:rRNA from 1 species
GACGAACGCUGGCGGCGUGCUUAACACAUGCAAGUCGAACGGAAAGGCCCUGCUUGCAGGGUGCUCGAGUGGCGAACGGGUGAGUAACACGUGGGUGAUCUGCCCCUUACUUUGGGAUAAGCCUGGGAAACUGGGUCUAAUACUGGAUAGGACCAUGCUGUAGGUGGUGUGGUGGAAAGAUUAGUUUCGGUAAGGGAUGAGCUCGCGGCCUAUCAGCUUGUUGGUGGGGUAAUGGCCUACCAAGGCGUCGACGGGUAGCCGGCCUGAGAGGGUGGACGGCCACAUUGGGACUGAGAUACGGCCCAGACUCCUACGGGAGGCAGCAGAGGGGAAUAUUGCACAAUGGGCGCAAGCCUGAUGCAGCGACGCCGCGUGGGGGAUGACGGCCUUCGGGUUGUAAACUCCUUUCAGCCAUGACGAAGCCCUUGUGGUGGCGGUAGUGGUAGAAGAAGCACCGGCUAACUACGUG